AAUGAAAGAUACAGAGAGUUGACUGUCUUCUACUGAUUAUCAGCCAGAGGUACAAGAUGGCAGAGAGAAGCCUCCUGAUUCUGCUAAAACUCAAGUGACCUUGUUACUUUUCUUGUUGGGAGUUCUCCACGGUACCUUUUCUCCUAUAUCUUUAUAGAAAUAGUUGUUCUUAAUGCUGUCUUUGUUAAAAAGGGUUGUUCUUCUGUAGUCACUGCUAAACUGUGCUGAAAUGUGCUUUCAGGUGAGCAGGGCUCUGCUUCGGAGUGAGCCAUAUUGAGAGAGCGCAUAUUGAUGAGGAAAGGUAGUAACCAGGAACUGCAAGAUAUUUGUGGGAUUGUGGGGUCCUGUUGUUUCUCUCUAGUCCCUUCAGAAUGAAGCAGCUUGAAAAGCUAGAAGGGCAGGCUGAGGAAGUGUGACACUUUUCUUUUGAAUGCUGGUACUGUACGUGUCUGGUUUGAAGUACUUGGGAAGUGGUGGGUGACUUCCUGAUAACUAAAUUGUUUCAAGUGUUAGUUACGUAAUUCAUGUGUAAUUCAUUCUGAUUGCUGUGUCCAAGCACUUAACACAAUUUGUAACUAAACUGUGAAUUAUAUAGAUUCCCACCUGUGUGUGUACACAGCGAUGUGUAGGUAUAUUCUCUUAAUAUGGCUAGCUGCAGUGCCCAUGGGGCUUUUCCUAAGUGCACUGAACUGUAGAAUACCAGGAAGAAGAAAGAGAUACUUGUGCAUGUGGUACAGCCCAUUCUGAAGCAUUUCAGGCUCCUGUCUCUGCAAGUGUAGACACUGUCAGUGGUCUCUGGCCAGGCUGAAUGUAUCUUGAUGGAAACCAGUUUACCUUUGGUUUCUGAGGCAAACUUCAGCUUUUGUCAAGAUGAUUUCUCUGAUUCUCUGAUAGUCCGGCUACUUGAUAUAUUUGAACCUUUUUGCUAACAUGCUUACAGCUUCCCAGGCAAGAAUUUAUAUUUGUCAUCAUUGAAUCACUACUGUCCAGUCCAGCCAAAAAUGUAAGCCAAAGUGUAAGCUUGUACUGGUGCUGUUAAUCUGUUCUAUAUACUACAUUAAAUUAUUCCUGAUACAAUGGUGAGGUCUAUCUGCUUCAGCUGCUGUCACCAGUACUGUCAUCGAGAACACUCACAGGUUGACUGCAGCUUUGCAUCUGAUGUUGCUCAGGUGUAAACCAUCAUAACACCCUGGGUGAGAAAGGUAGGGUCUCUUGGCUGUGGUGGAACAAGGAGUGACCUAAUGCAUCCUGAAAACAGUCCAAAGGAAAUAAAUUCACCUGAGUGGUUACCUGCCACUCAUUAGGAGCUUCCUGGUCUCUGGUGGAGGAGCGAGUUGCCCUUGUCUUUGCAUUAAGUUGAGAGAACAGUGACUUAUAGAUGGGCAUGCAGGACCUGUCCCCAGCCAUCCCAGUGUCACCUGAACAGGCUGUUCCUGCACAGAAAGGGCUUUGCAGAUGAUCCAGCUCUGAAGGAAGUGUUCUUUGUGUG